AAGUCUAAAACGACUCUCGGCAACGGAUAUCUCGGCUCUCGCAUCGAUGAAGAACGUAGCGAAAUGCGAUACUUGGUGUGAAUUGCAGAAUCCCGUGAACCAUCGAGUCUUUGAACGCAAGUUGCGCCCCAAGCCUUCUGGCCGAGGGCAYGUCUGCCUGGGUGUCACA
rnacentral:rRNA from 1 species